rnacentral:rRNA from 1 species
AUUGAACGCUGGCGGCAGGCCUAACACAUGCAAGUCGAGCGGAGCGGCGGACGGGUGAGUAAUACCUAGGAAUCUGCCUGGUCGUGGGGGCUAACGUCCGGAAACGGGCGCUAAUACCGCAUCCUAUCACAUGAGCCUAGGCCGGCUUAGCUCGUUGGUGGGGUAAAGACAUACCAAGGCGACGAUCCGUAACGGGUCUGAGAGGAUGAUCAGUCACACUGGAUCUGAGACACGGUCCAUACUCCUACGGUAGGCAGCAGUGGGGAAGAUUGGACAAUGGGCGAAAGCCUGAUCCAGCCAUGCCGCGUGUGUGAAGAAGGUCUGCGGAUUGUAAAGCACUGUAAGUUGGGAGGCGUUACCAACAGAAUAAGCACCGGCUAACUUCGUGCCAGCAGCCGCGGUAAUUC